rnacentral:lncRNA from 1 species
GAGUGGCAAAAAAGAAGAGACCUUGGGUGCUCCCUAACUGUGUGACAUGUGACAUGGACAUGCUCUGGUGAAGUCAGGAGAAGGGAUGGUUUUGCUUCUCUCUGAGCUGUGGAGAUGAAGAACAUGCGGGACUCCUGUGUAUGUUCAGCCCACUGAAUGGUUCCCGAGAGAUUCAAGACAAACGUCUCUGAUCAAGUGCUACUUGGAAGACCUGUGAGGCAAGGUAGUCAAUUCAACUGAUACCUUGGGGUCCCAGAUGGAUUAAGAAUCCUGCAGGUAUAUGAUAAAGUCAUGGUUUGAAUCCAGUUUAGUGUGACACCUACCUGUGGGUUUUGUUUUUGUUUGAGAUCGCCCUGCCUCACUACAUUCCCCACCCCAGGUAGAAACCACACAUGCAUCUAUACCCACCCAUCCAGUAAGCAUUUUUUUCUU